GAGGAGAAAACACGCGUUUGAUGUCUCUCUUCAACAUCUGUUAUUUUAGAACGGCAUAAAGACUAUUUAUUUUCAACUAUAAACGACCUCAAGGCGAAGCGUGUCAGAUGUUAAGUUGUGAAAAUCAACAAGUCAACGUGUCUGAAGAAGUGUCCGUCUUAAUUUACAAUUGGAUUAACCCUUGACGUGCCUCAAUUUAGUUGAUGAGCUGGGGUCGUUCAAAAUCUGGUCUCCACUGUGCUGGAAAUUGAAUACAAAAGUUUUUGUAGUGAUACAGUACCCGC
rnacentral:lncRNA from 1 species